UACGUAGGGGGCUAGCGUUGUCCGGAAUCAUUGGGCGUAAAGCGCGUGUAGGCGGCCCGGUAAGUCCGCUGUGAAAGUCGGGGGCUCAACCCUCGGAAGCCGGUGGAUACUGUCGGGCUGGAGUACGGAAGAGGCGAGUGGAAUUCCUGGUGUAGCGGUGAAAUGCGCAGAUAUCAGGAGGAACACCGAUGGCGAAGGCAGGUCUCUGGGCAUUAACUGACGCUGAGGAGCGAAAGCAUGGGGAGCGAACAGG
rnacentral:rRNA from 1 species